CAAGCGGCUGCGCAGAGCCUGCAAGUCCAGAAGGGGCUGCACCCUCACGGCCGUUCGCUGGGUUCGCCAGACCCGGUGUUAGUGUCGGUUUGAAUCACCGCAGCCACCCUCCCGUGGUGUCACCGUAGGCCCCACAGGGGCUGACAGAUUGGAGGACGUGUGAGUGGGGCGCGGCUCGCGGGGCGGGGCACACAGGCGGAGAUGGAGAGCGGGUACUUACCCAGAGCGCAGGGGCCCUGUGGUCUCACGCCGACUUUCACGCACUGCACACCGCAGCCCCACGGCGACUGGGUAAAGCCUGUCUUUCCAUCUCACCCAGGUUUCGACACCUCAGAACCAGACCACUGCCUUUCUCAUCAUCUGCUCAAGAGACACGGUUGACCGAGACUUCGGACUCGGGCAGGGCGCCUUAGCUCACUCAGCAGGUGACGUAGCCCCCUAUUUGGAGCCGUCUUCUCCCUUUGUCCAGCUGCCUCUAAGGAUGCGUCUGGAGGGACUUCAACUCACUGUCCGGGACUGAACAUCUCCCGUCUCCCACGGCACCGGGCACACGCUGGGCUCUUCCUGCUGACCUCAGGGGAGCUGGGUUCAGAUGGCAGGAAAACGAACCUGGCUUUGCCACGCUCCAGUUCACCUGCCUCCUUGCACACCUGAGUUCAGGAGCCUCGUCCCUCCACCAGAGGGCGUGGCAGCAUGGAUGCCAGCCGCACCUGGGCUCUGCCAGGUGUUCCGACCGCAGCCCUUUGGAAGGUUCUGUCCCGCGUCCCCUCGCUGACGGACCCCAGGGCCGGGUGACAUGCCCGCCCACCGCAGACUCAGCAGACGGGCUGAAUGGAGGAAGGUCAUUCCCAUGGCGCGUCCCCGAGACCCGACUCCUGGUGGAGACCCUGCCAGCAGCACGGCCCCCAGCUCUGACGCCGGAAGAGCUUGGGGUCGCUCCCAUUCUCACCACGAGAACAAUCCUGAGCCACCUGAGGACUGACGGCUUUUCUUGGUCACAUCAGAGGACCGGGGUCAGAGGGCACAGCAUCCGAAGGUCACGAGUGAGAUCCGCUGCCUCGCACCCUGGUAGGAGCAUUUCAUUUAGAUGACAAGGGGCUGGAGACCGAGUGUGCGCUGCUGUGGGCGCGGGGGAGUCUCAGGUCUGCCGGCGCAGCGCAUGGCCACAGUCUCAGGGCUUUUAUCCCCAGGAACUCCACCAGGUUUUGACAGGAAAGAGCUGAGAAAGACCGCACAGGAGUGGUGAUCGAACUUUAAUGCUGGCUGUCUUUCUAGGCGGGGGGUGGUAUUUCACUGUGGUUUUUUUGUGCAUUUCCCAAAUGACUAACUUUUCCAAAUGGCUAAUCAUGUGGCGCGUCUUUUCAUGUGGUUCUUUGCCGUGUCAUUUUCUUUGGUGACGCGCCCAUUGCAACCCUUUCUCGUUUUGCUGUCAGGUUGUUUGUUUUCUUAUGAUUGAGUUUCGAGAGUUCUUUAUGCAUUCUGAAUAAGAGUCCUUUAUCAGAUAUGUGAUUUUCACAUAUUUCCUCUCAGUGUGGAGCUUGUCCUUUAAUUCUCUUAACGGAGUCUUUUGAAAGCAUAAGUUUUGAAUUUUGCUGCCGUUCAGAAUCUCAAACUGUUCGUAUAUGUAGGUCAUGCCUCUGUAAGAGCUCAGGAUUAUGACAACUCUAAGAAAUCUUUGCCUAACACAUGGUCACAAAUGCUUUCUCCUUUUAUUCCAGAACUGUUAUCGUUUUAGGUUUUACAUUUAGAUCUCUGAUCCAUUUUGAAUUAACUUUGCUAAACGGUGACGCUGUGAUCGUUUGUAUUUUUCAAGGGAAGGAGGUUCCCUCUGUUCACUGUCUUCUGAGGGUUUUUUCUUUUCAAUCAGGAAUGGGUGUUAGACUGUGUCAAAUGCUUUGCAUCUUUAUCGAGAUGGCCGUCCGAUGUUCUGUUUGGUUUGUGAAAGCGGCGAGUGGCCCUGGCUCAGUUAACCUCGGUUUCCCCGAGUGACCCCGGCUCAGUUAACCUCGGUUUCCCCGAGUGACCCCGGCUCAGUUAACCUCGGUUUCCCCGAGUGACCCUGGCUCAGUUAACCUCGGUCCCCGAGGCAGGCGUCCCCUGGGAGCAGUGUGUGGUCUCCUUUAGAGAUGUCACCGGGUUUUAUUUUUCUGUAUUUUGUUUGUGAGGAAUAUUGGUCUGCAGUUCUCAUUUCUUCUCGUUUAUUUGUUUGUGUUUGGUACCAGGGUAAUGCUGCUUCAUUGAAUGCAUCCUAGUUGAUUUUUUAGAAGAGUUUGGGUAAAAUUGGAAUAAUUACGCUCCUGAAAUGUUUGCUAGGAUUCACCAGUGAAGCCGCUUGGUCCUGGAGUAGUCUUUGUGGGGACGUUUCCGACUGCAAGUAUAAUUUUGUUAACAGAGGGUACUCAUGCGUCUGAUAGUCUGCUUCUUUUAGAGGCAGCCGUGGUGGCUUGUGUCUUCCAGCAAGCUGUCCUCUUUUCCCAAGCGAGCGGUAAAACCUGUAGUGGUGUCAGUCCUCUCGUUUCUGACACAGGUAACUUGUGUCUUUCCCCCUUUUCCGUCCACCUGGCUAGAUGUUUAUUGCUGUCAUCUAUCUUCUCAAAGAACCAGCUCUGGGAUUCCUGGGUCUUCUCUGUUGUUUCCUGUUCAGAAUCUCUCCCCGAAGCAGAAGCACCUCCUUCCUCCUUUUCUUGCUGACCCUGUGCCAAAGGACCCCCCCUAAGACCAUCUAGGUCUAAGCUCCCACGUUUCUCAAGCUCCACCCCAGCACCUCCGACUUUCUUCUGACCGUCUGGUCAGAGGUCGAGCAUUUCAGCUGAAACUUCAGGAAAAAAAAGCCUGUGUGUAUACUCUGAAGUGUGUGCUCACUUGUGUAUACAACAGCUUUAGUGACGGGGCUGUAAAUGCAGGAUUCACUUGGCGCCGGGGGCAGGGGGCUCCCUGGCUCUGCCCUUUGCUAACAUAUAAGGGACUAACCACCUCUGAGCCUCCGUUUCCCUCGCUCUAAAACGGGAGUCACGAUGAUAACAAGGUUGUCGAAGGACCCGGCGAGGAGAUGGAUGCAAAGGGCUUGGCCAGAGUCUGGUGCUGGGCCAGCCCUCCGUGAGCAGUGCUGAAAUGUGACAGCGAGCGUGACGGUCCAGGGCUCCGUCCCCUUCACUGCUGGAAAGGCAGGAUUUACGGUCUUCCUUGUCUUCUGUUGAUGUUGGAG
rnacentral:lncRNA from 9 species